rnacentral:lncRNA from 10 species
AGCUCCUUUCAGAUAGAGACAAGGGAUAUUUGACUUCUUAUCUCUGUUGUCCAGCACAAUGUCCAGAACACAACAGAUAUUCCAUAUGCACAGUCACAUGCUAUGUAUGUGUAUUUUCUUUCCAGAAAGGACUAGAGGUCCUAAGCUUUGUUAAUAUCAUGAGCCAGUGCCCACAUGAGCAGGAGAAUUUUAGCACAGUCACCUACACACUCAUUUCGAUGCUCUGACCCCUUAUCCAAGCCAGUCAAAGUGUGGUCUAUGGUUUUGCAUUUUAAAGAGAUCCCUGGGUGAAUCUUGUGCAUGUUACAGGGAAGCACUGUCCUACAUCCUAUGUGACAGGCUCUCAUAGUCACCAUCAUCAUGGGAAUCUUGCACAUGUUACAGGGAAGCACUGUCCUACAUCAUAUGUGACAGGCUCUCAUAGUCACCAUCAUCACGGGAAUCUUGCACAUGUUACAGGGAAGCACUGUCCUACAUCGUAUGUGACAGGCUCUCAUAAUCACCAUCAUCAUGUGAUCUUGUGCAUGUUACAGGGAAGCACUGUUCUACAUCGUAUCUGACAGGCUCUCAUAAUCACCAUCAUCACGGGAAUCUUGUGCAUGUUGCAGGGAAGCACUGUCCUACAUCGUAUGCGACAGGGUCUCAGAGUCACCAUCAUCGUGGGAAUCUUGUGCAUGUUACAGGGAAGCACUGUCCUACAUCAUAUGUGACAGGCUCUCAUAGUCACCAUCAUCACGGGAAGCUGCAUUUAGAGCAUUUAACUGUAUGGGCUCUGAAAUCAGAUGACUUAGGUUUGGGCUUGCCUCUACUUCUUACUAAGCAGAGAACUUUGGGGCAUGAUACUUAAUUUUACUAGGCUCAGUUUUAUCAUGUGUAAAUUGGAGGCAAGGGGAAAUUAUAGCAUUUUGCAUAGAAUAUUGUUUUAAGUAUGAA